rnacentral:rRNA from 1 species
CGUGUAGGCGGGCGACUAAGUCGGAUGUGAAAUCCCUGGGCUCAACCUAGGAACUGCAUUCGAAACUGGUCACCUAGAGUGAUGGAGAGGAAAGUGGAAUUCCCGGUGUAGAGGUGAAAUUCGUAGAUAUCGGGAGGAACACCAGUGGCGAAGGCGGCUUUCUGGACAUUUACUGACGCUGAGACGCGAAAGCGUGGGGAGCAAACA